GACGAACGCUGGCGGCGUGCUUAACACAUGCAAGUCGAACGGUGAAGCGCCUUCCUUUUUGGUGGGUGUGGAUGAGUAGCGGAGGGGUAAGUAACACGUGAGUAACCUGCCCCUUUCUUCUGGAUAACCGCAUGAAGGCGUAGCUAAUACAGGAUAUUCUGGGUCUGUGGGGUGGUGGGUCUGGGAAGGAGGUUGUGGCGGUGGGGGCUGGGUGUGGGGGGUUUGAGCUUGUUGGUGGGGUGCUGGGCUUCCACGGCGUUGACGGGUAGCCGGCCUGAGAGGGUGACAGGCCCCAUUGGGACUGCGAUACGGGCCAGCCUCCUGCGGGAGGGAGCAGUGGGGAAUAGUGCACUGUGGGCGGAAGCCGGGUGCAGCGAAGCCGCGUGCGGGAUGACGGCCUUCCGCUUGUAAACCGCUUUCGCCUGUGAUGAGGCGUGAUUGACGGUAAUGGGUAAAGAAGCACCGGCUAACUACGUG
rnacentral:rRNA from 1 species